rnacentral:rRNA from 2 species
UGAUUAGUGGCGAACGGGUGAGUAACACGUGAGUAACCUGCCCCUGACUCUGGGAUAAGCGUUGGAAACGACGUCUAAUACUGGAUACGACUGCCGGCCGCAUGGUCUGGUGGUGGAAAGAUUUUUUGGUUGGGGAUGGACUCGCGGCCUAUCAGCUUGUUGGUGAGGUAAUGGCUCACCAAGGCGACGACGGGUAGCCGGCCUGAGAGGGUGACCGGCCACACUGGGACUGAGACACGGCCCAGACUCCUACGGGAGGCAGCAGUGGGGAAUAUUGCACAAUGGGCGAAAGCCUGAUGCAGCAACGCCGCGUGAGGGAUGACGGCCUUCGGGUUGUAAACCUCUUUUAGUAGGGAAGAAGCGAAAGUGACGGUACCUGCAGAAAAAGCACCGGCUAACUACGUGCCAGCAGCCGCGGUAAUACGUAGGGUGCAAGCGUUGUCCGGAAUUAUUGGGCGUAAAGAGCUCGUAGGCGGUUUGUCGCGUCUGCUGUGAAAUCCCGAGGCUCAACCUCGGGCUUGCAGUGGGUACGGGCAGACUAGAGUGCGGUAGGGGAGAUUGGAAUUCCUGGUGUAGCGGUGGAAUGCGCAGAUAUCAGGAGGAACACCGAUGGCGAAGGCAGAUCUCUGGGCCGUAACUGACGCUGAGGAGCGAAAGCGUGGGGAGCGAACAGGAUUAGAUACCCUGGUAGUCCACGCCG